rfam:Aspergillus clavatus NRRL 1 1099423829791 genomic scaffold, whole genome shotgun sequence.
GGCAAGGUGGCCGAGUGGUUAAGGCGUUAGCCUUGAAUGUGCGGAAUUUCAUUCCUACACAUCGUAAGCUAAUCCCCUAGGGGUCGCGUGUUCGAAUCACGUCCUUGUCG